CCGGGGAGUCGGCCUCGGGGCUCUGCUCUCCUACCUCAGUCUGCCCUACCCUGGAAUGGGGAAAAUGCGGACAUGCCACUCAGUCCGGCCGCGAACAGUGCUCCAGAACUCAGAGAGUUUUCCAGACGGGUGGAGAUCGCGUUCCCUGCCCGCCGAGGUCCCAUCGCUUCCCUGCUGGGAAGACAAAUGAGGCGCUUUAGCCGUCUCCACGGCCAGCCCCUCCCUCAUAACCCGAGAUUCUUUGUGGGCUCUUAGUCCAUAGCUGCCUUUGAGGUGGUGUAGACCUUGCUAACCAGGACGGCCCAGUAGGCAGAGCUCAUUUUUAUUCCUGUCUGCAAUCGUGCAAAAACGCCUCUUAUGGAAAAGCCAGAGCGCCAGGAGUCAGCAAAACACACUAAAGAUUGGGCAGUCACUGGGGAGAACACUCAGCCCGCCUGCACCCAGGUGAAAUAUACAGCCUUGUUGCUCACACAAAGCCUGUUUGGUGGUUUCUUCACACGGAUGCAUGUGACAUUUGGUGCUGAAGACCCAGGACAGGAGGACUCCUUUGGGAGACCAGUGCCCUGUUGUCGCCCUCACUCCGUGAGGAGAUCCACCUAUGAUCUCAGGUCCUCAGACCAACCAGCCCAAGGAACAUCUUGCCAAUUUCAAAUCGGGUUGUCAGAAUCUGCAGAGAAGCUUCCUCCAAUCUCCAGCCUGAGAGUUCAGGCCUGGUUACCAGCAUUCUAGAAGCUGAAAGAGGAGAAGUUCUUGGAAGACUAAGAAGUCCAACAUUCGGU
rnacentral:lncRNA from 10 species